GAGUAAAAUGCCUGAUUCUCCUGUGUGGCCAGUCUCGUGUCAAUUAAACUCUCUACUACAAUGCCAUGGUGUCAAUGCAUCUUGUCUGUGCAGUGCGCAGAAAGAACCCACUGGCAAUUACAUUACCAGUAGCUAUCGCUCUUCUGUCCUUCAAACAGGAAAUACUUCAACCCUGGAUGUCUAUGUUAUCUCACUUUAUCUGUACAGCAAUCCUGUCCUCCAGUGACUAUAUUGCAAUGAGUUAAGAAGAGAGUUUCAGAAAGAUAACAUGCCUGGCCAAGGGGAAGAAAACAGAUUACCAAUAUCAGGAAUGAAGAAGGAUAUAUUACUGCAGUUCCUAUUGUCUUAGAAUAAAGAAUGGC
rnacentral:lncRNA from 1 species